UACGUAGGGUGCAAGCGUUGUCCGGAAUUAUUGGGCGUAAAGAGCUCGUAGGCGGUCUGUCGCGUCUGCUGUGAAAACCUAGGGCUUAACUCUGGGCGUGCAGUGGGUACGGGCAGGCUAGAGUGCGGUAGGGGGAGACUGGAAUCCCUGGUGUAGCGGUGAAAUGCGCAGAUAUCAGGAGGAACACCGGUGGCGAAGGCGGGUCUCUGGGCCGUAACUGACGCUGAGGAGCGAAAGCAUGGGGAGCGAACAGG
rnacentral:rRNA from 1 species